rnacentral:lncRNA from 1 species
AUGAAGGAAGGGAGAGAGAGUGAGAGAGAGAUGGGGAAAGGAAGAAAGGAAGAAAGGAAGAAAGGAAGAAAGAAAGAAAGAAAGAAAGAAAGAAAGAAAGAAAGAAAGAAAGAAAGAAAGAAAGAAAGAAAGAAAGAAAGAAAGAAAGAAAGAAAGAAAGAAAGAAAGAAAGAAAGAAAGAAAGAAAGAAAGAAAGAAAGGAAGAAAGGAAGGAAGGAAGGAAGGAAGGAAGGAAGGAAGGAAGGAAGGAAGGAAGCAAGGAAGGAAGAGGCAGAGAGAGAGAGGAGGGAGGCAGGGCAAGGCAUGCUACCCUGA